rnacentral:misc_RNA from 1 species
AACCCUCAAACCCAAGUUUUGGAUUUCGGUCCAUGCUUGAGUUUGGAUUUGGAUGUUUGCCGGUGAUGAACCGACUCAUCUUAAAAGUAUUAGCUGGAUCUGUCUAUAUGACUGGUUUGACUUGGCAUAAUAAGUAUUUUGCUGAGGACAUUCUUCGGAGUGGCCUCGUUUCUAGGACGCUUGUCCGCUUUCCAAGACAAGUUCCACCUCGUGGACAUGACUUUUUAUU